rnacentral:tRNA from 1 species
CUGUAGCUCAGUUGGAUAGAGUGCUUGACUACGAAUCAAGAGGUCGGGGGUUCGAGCCCCUUCAG